GAUGAACGCUGGCGGCAUGCCUAACACAUGCAAGUCGAUCGGUAAGGCUCUUCGGAGUACCCGAGAGGCGGACGGCUGAGUAACGCGUAGGAACACACCCUGCAGUGAGGGAUAAGACACCGAAAGGUGUUCUAAUACCGCAUACGGUCUUCGGAUUAAAGCAUUUAUGCGCUGAAGGAGUGGCCUGCGUCAUAUUAGAUAGUUGGUGAGGUAAUGGCUCACCAAGUCGAUGAUGUGUAGCUGGUCUGAGAGGAUGAUCAGCCAGACUGGAACUGAGACACGGUCCAGACUCCUACGGGAGGCAGCAGUGAGGAAUAUUUCACAAUGAGCGAAAGCUUGAUGGAGCAAUGCCGCGUGCAGGAUGAAGGCCCUCGGGUUGUAAACUGCUUUUAUAAGAGAAGAUUAUGACGGUAACUUAUGAAUAAGGGACGGCUAACUACGU
rnacentral:rRNA from 1 species